UGGACUUUAUGGGAUCAUCAAUAACUGAAAAUAAUACAUCAAUUGAAUAUGUAUUUGAAUAGUUAAAUAAAAUAUGUGCAAUUGCUUCCAUCCUCCUAUUUAUGUGUAAGGAUGUGAACAUCUAGAAAAGACUUCUUUCAUGUCAGUCUUCAAAUGAAACGC